UACAUGAAGUUGUUGGUUGUAAAAUACUCCACUAAGGACUUAAUUUUAGCAACACUUCCGUCCCAUUUUCUUGAUUUGUUCAUGAAAACUGGUACUGUAUCAAAGGAGUUACAGCUACUCACGGAUGAACUGUUUGUAAAGGGAA